rnacentral:rRNA from 1 species
UACGAAGGGGGCUAGCGUUGCUCGGAAUGACUGGGCGUAAAGGGCGCGUAGGCGGCGCUCCAAGUUAGGCGUGAAAGUCCUGGGCUCAACCUGGGAACUGCGCUUGAUACUGGAGUGCUUGAGGAUGGAAGAGGGUCGUGGAAUUCCCAGUGUAGAGGUGAAAUUCGUAGAUAUUGGGAAGAACACCGGUGGCGAAGGCGGCGACCUGGUCCAUUACUGACGCUGAGGCGCGACAGCGUGGGGAGCAAACAGG